CUGGCUCAGGACGAACGCUGGCGGCACGCUUAACACAUGCAAGUCGAACGGAGAUAAUUUGAGUUUACUUAGAUUAUCUUAGUGGCGGACGGGUGAGUAACACGUGAGCAACCUGCCUUUGAGAGAGGGAUAGCUUCUGGAA
rnacentral:rRNA from 1 species